rnacentral:lncRNA from 1 species
CUAAUUUUACAAAAGAGAAUAAUAAUGGUACCUACGUUGCUACAAUGUGCGUUAAUGCACAUAAACGGCCCAAACCAGUACCUGGUACAGAAUAAGCACUCAGGAAAGGUCAUUUAUAUAAAACGGUUCCACCACACUGCAGGCUGCAGAGACAUAAGGGAUGCGUUGGUGCCUAACCUGGCCCUGGUACAGGAGCCUUGGGCGCUACCUGCCUCACUUUCCAACCAAAUGCUCCAGGGUAUGCGGGCCCUCAGCCGGUUUCCAAGCAAACGACCCGGAGGUGUCUAGGAUAAGAAACACACAUACACCCCACUUCCACACGCACAAAACCCAAAAACACGCUCCAGGGGCAGAGGGGGCGCGUCAAGGUGGCCGAA